rnacentral:ribozyme from 1 species
UGCCCAGCAACUCCUAUCCCUACCUCCUCGCGGUACCGGCCGGAAACUAUGAGAAACCUUAGGGAAGAUCGGGUAACCAACCCCGGUGGGAACUUUGGUCGUAGGCUGACAGGGAAGG